AGUGAGCGCUGGCGGUAGGCCUAACACAUGCAAGUCGAACGGCAGCACAGUAAGAGCUUGCUCUUGCGGGUGGCGAGUGGCGGACGGGUGAGGAAUACAUCGGAAUCUACUUUUUCGUGGGGGAUAACGUAGGGAAACUUACGCUAAUACCGCAUACGACCUACGGGUGAAAGCAGGGGAUCUUCGGACCUUGCGCGAUUGAAUGAGCCGAUGUCGGAUUAGCUAGUUGGCGGGGUAAAGGCCCACCAAGGCGACGAUCCGUAGCUGGUCUGAGAGGAUGAUCAGCCACACUGGAACUGAGACACGGUCCAGACUCCUACGGGAGGCAGCAGUGGGGAAUAUUGGACAAUGGGCGCAAGCCUGAUCCAGCCAUACCGCGUGGGUGAAGAAGGCCUUCGGGUUGUAAAGCCCUUUUGUUGGGAAAGAAAAGCAGCAGGUUAAUACCCCGCUGUUCUGACGGUACCCAAAGAAUAAGCACCGGCUAACUUCGUG
rnacentral:rRNA from 1 species